AUGGGGCUGGCAACUUGCCCACCUGCAGCACUGGGCUCCAGUAGGAGCUUCUCAUCCAGCUGUUUAAAGGUAAAGGAGUUAGGGGAGAGUCUGUUCUGUCACAUGCAGGUGCUUCAUCCCAUUCUGAGAGGUCCCAUCCCUCCCUGGGCAGCAGGUGUGGGGUGCACUCUGUGCCUGAGCUGGGUGAGCCCACUGGUGACGUGCCAGAGGAAGGUCCUGCAGUUUUGGCUGUGCUCUUUUCUCUCCUGGCUCUUUGAAGUGCUGGCAGCAGGCUCUGGCUCUCAGGACUCCCGUGUCCUCGUUCCUGGGAUUGCACAGCUGCUGAGGACACACUUCUCUGCAGCCCAGGGCAUCUCACCUUGCACCUGCAGAACAUCAAGUGAUAAAAGAAGCACAAACACACCAGCCCUUUCCUCCCCAGCCCCACAAAUGCUUUGCAGAGGGCUCUCUCCUGUGAGAGGAGGGUCGGAGGUUCCCAACAGGCUGGCACAGGUGCCUCAGGGAACUCUGCCUGUCAGUGCAGUGCUGAAGUUUGCACUUCUGGUUGCUGAUGCCCAAAUUCACCACUUUUUCACCAGGGAAACCAGUUUAUUUCUGGGUCCAGGCUCAGCAGCAGCACUUUUUCAGCCUGAAGUAUUUAUAUCACUGACAUCAGCUGGUCUCACUCCCUGCAUACUGGGGUCACAGAGCUUCCCCAGAUUAAUUAACAGCAGCAAAUCCAUUACAACAUCUUUGAAUGUUGUUCCAAUUAUAUCCCAUUACAUUUCUCUUCCACAUGGAAUGUGCAGGGUUUCAGUUUUCCUGCUUGUGUGUCUUGUGCCUUACCUGCUGGCUGAAAGUUUUCUCAGAAACCACAUUUUUGGGUUGAAUUCCCCCAUGAUGAUGUCACAUGUAGCAAGGCCUGGAAUCUCCUGCUGUAGAGCAGAUGAUGGAGCUCCUCUGAGCUCCAGCAUCUGCCUCCAGCUGUGGAUGCUGCAGCGGGAGGUGGUGUCUCUGAUGGCCUCUGUGUUCCUCUGA
rnacentral:lncRNA from 1 species